AGCGAACGUUAGCGGCGGGCUUAACACAUGCAAGUCGAACGAGAAAGUGGCUUCGGCCAUGAGUAAAGUGGCGGACGGGUGAGUAACACGUGGCUAACCUGCCCUUCAGUUGGGGAUAACAGUCCGAAAGGAUUGCUAAUACCGAAUGCGACGGCGAGGACCUCGGUCUUUGUCGGGAAAGCCGGCCACUACAUGUAAGCUGGCGCUGAAGGAGGGGGCCGCGGCCCAUCAGCUAGUUGGUGAGGUAACGGCUCACCAAGGCGAAGACGGGUAGCUGGUCUGAGAGGAUGAUCAGGCACACUGGGACUGAGACACGGCGCAGAGUCCUACGGGAGGCAGCAGUGGGGAAUAUUGGGCAAUGGGCGCAAGCCUGACCCAGCCACGCCGCGUGAGUGAUGAAGGCCUUCGGGUCGUAAAGCUCUGUGGGGAGGGACGAAAACCCUGAGGCUAAUAUCCUCAGGUUUGACGGUACCUCCUUAGCAAGCACCGGCUAACUCCGUGCCAGCCGCCGCCGUAAUAC
rnacentral:rRNA from 1 species